rfam:Oryza glumipatula chromosome 4, whole genome shotgun sequence.
UUUAAGUACAAUCAUGAGUUUUCAUGUUCAAUUUUAAUAUUUCGUCUUAUUUAGAAAAAAAUAUGAUAAUUAUUUUUUUAUGAGAUAAUAAAACAUGAAUAAUACUUUAUUCAUAACUUAUGUAAAAAAUUAAAAUAAGAAGAACGAUUAAAGUUGAGUGUGGAAAAUUAUGGCUUCACUUCAA